ACUACGGGUGGCAGCAGUGGGGAAUAUUGGGCAAUGGGCGAAAGCCUGACCCAGCAACGCCGCGUGAAGGAAGAAGGCUUUCGGGUUGUAAACUUCUUUUGACAGGGAAGAGCAGAAGACGGUACCUGUCGAAUAAGCCACGGCUAACUACGUGCCAGCAGCCGCGGUAAUACGGAGGUGGCAAGCGUUGUCCGGAUUUACUGGGGGUAAAGGGCGUGUAGCCGGGCUGACAAGUCAGAUGUGAAAUCCGGGGGCUCAACCCCCGAACUGCAUGUGAAACUGUUGGUCUUGAGUAUCGGAGAGGCAGGCGGAAUUCCUAGUGUAGCGGUGAAAUGCGUAGAUAUUAGGAGGAACACCAGUGGCGAAGGCGGCCUGCUGGACGACAACUGACGGUGAGGCGCAAAAGCGUGGGGAGCAAACAGGAUUAGAUACCCGGGUAGUC
rnacentral:rRNA from 1 species